GGGGAGCUGGCCUGGGGCUCCAAUCUCACCCCGCCAAAUAGCCCUUGUGCCCCCCAAAAUUUUUUAUUGGGGCUGCCUCUCGGGUUCUACCUGGACUCCCAAUCAAAGGCAACUCAACACACCUGCCUUCAAUUGGAAGUCCCAAUCACCAACACAAACAUUCACACACACAAACUGCCACGUCCUGACCCCAAAACGAAUACAAUAGCUCCAUCUGCUGGUCAGGACAUGACAAUCGUAACUCCUAAACCAAAUCGUAACUCCUAAACCUAACCCUAACUCCUAAAUCUAAACCUAAACCUAACCAUAACUCCUAUACCUAAACCUAACCAUAACUCCUAUACCUAAACCUAAUCGUAACUCCUAAACCUAAUCGGAACUCCUAAACAUAAUCGUAACUCCUAAACCUAAUCGUAACUCCUAACCUUAUUUCUAACCCUAAAUGGAACCCCUGAGCCUAAAAUAGCAUUUUUUCUCAUGUGGAUCUUCAAAAUGUCCCCACUUGGCCACAUUUUCCUUGUUUUACUAUCCUUAUGAUGAUGCCUAGUACCCACAAGGACAGUUCAACAAAAACACACAGAGAGGAAGGGCUGUACAGUGAACACACUGAGUCACAUUUCAUAUAAAGAGACAUUCCCCUGGGGUCACUUGUCAACCAGGCAUACAUCCCUGACCUCUCCUUCCACAUCACACUGCAUUGUGUCCUACGCUAGAGAAUAGGAUGAUGUCAUUUCAUUAUAAUUGAUUGAUUGUUUAAUUAGUUUGCCAUUUGAGUGAAACUGGAAUACCUGGUUUUGGAUGGUGAUGUGAUCUUUAUGUAAAGGAAGGAAGGGGAAGCUGAAUGGUUGGCUGAGUGGAGGUCUCUAUGAUAAGAUAGGAGAACAGUGUGAUCUUUAUGUAAAGGAAGGAAGGGGGAGCUGAAUGGUUGGCUGAGUGGGGGUCUCUAUGAUAAGAUAGGAGAACAGUGUGAUCUUUAUGUAAAGGAAGGAAGGGGGAGCUGAAUGGUUGGCUGAGUGGGGGUCUCUAUGAUAAGAUAGGAGAACAGUGUGAUCUUUAUGUAAAGCAAGGAAGGGGGAGCUGAAUGGUUGGCUGAGUGGAGGUCUCUAUGAUAAGAUAGGGAGAACAGUGUGAUCUUUAUAGUGUUGUAGAGGAGGCUCUGUGGUGAGGACAAGGCCGCUGGAGGACGUCUGAAACCAUAGUUCUCCCUCAGGACCUAUUACUGACUGUAGAUCUACCAGAGCUGAGUCCCUCACUACAGCAGGUGUAGAUCUACCAGAGCUGAGUCUCUCACUACAGCAGGUGUAAAUCUACCAGAGCUGAGUCCCUCACUACAGCAGGUGUAGAUCUACCAGAGCUGAGUCUCUCACUACAGCAGGUGUAAAUCUACCAGAGCUGAGUCCCUCACUACAGCAGGUGUAGAUCUACCAGAGCUGAGUCUCUCACUACAGCAGGUGUAAAUCUACCAGAGCUGAGUCCCUCACUACAGCAGGUGUAGAUCUACCAGAGCUGAGUCUCUCACUACAGCAGGUGUAAAUCUACCAGAGCUGAGUCUCUCACUACAGCAGGUGU
rnacentral:lncRNA from 1 species